ACUUCUUCAGAAAACACAUCUUUAAUUUGUGUUAAUACAUAUUUCAAAAUUCUGUUGUAUGCUGAAAUGCAGUAUGUAAGUAAAGGUAAAAAGGUAAAGGUAAAGGACCCCAGAUGGUUAAGUCCAGUCAAAGGCAACUAUGGGAUGUGGCGCUCAUCUUGCUUCAGGCUGAUGAAGCCGGCGUUUGUCCACAGACAGCUUUCCGGGUCAUGUGGCCAGCAUGACUAAACCGCUUCUGGUGCGACACAACACCGUGAUGGAAGCCAGAGAACACAGAAAUACUGUUUACCUUCCUGCUGCAGUGGUACCUAUUUAUCUACUUGCACAGGUGUGCUUUCAAACUGUUAGGUUGGCAGAAGCUGGGAACUCACCCCGUUGUGGGGAUUUGAACCGCCAACCUUCUGAUCAACAAGCCCAAGAAGCUCAGUGGUUUAGACCACAGCGCCACCCACUCCCUAUAAGUACAUAUAUAAGUACCGUAUUUUUCACCCUAUAGGACACACUUUUCCCCCUCCAAAAAUGAAGGGGAAAUGUGUGUGCGUCCUAUGGGGCGAAUGCAGGUUUUCGCUGAAGCCUGGAGAGUGAGAGG